GCCCGAGUGGCGGAAUGGUAGACGCAGGGGAUUCAAAAUCCCCCGCCGCAAGGCGUGCGAGUUCGAGUCUCGCCUCGGGCA
rnacentral:tRNA from 1 species